rnacentral:rRNA from 1 species
AGAGUUUGAUCCUGGCUCAGGAUGAACGCUGGCGGCGUGCUUAACACAUGCAAGUCGAACGGUGAAGCCAAGCUUGCUUGGUGGAUCAGUGGCGAACGGGUGAGUAACACGUGAGCAACCUGCCCUGGACUCUGGGAUAAGCGCUGGAAACGGCGUCUAAUACUGGAUAUGAGACGUGAUCGCAUGGUCGUGUUUGGAAAGAUUUUCGGUCUGGGAUGGGCUCGCGGCCUAUCAGCUUGUUGGUGAGGUAAUGGCUCACCAAGGCGUCGACGGGUAGCCGGCCUGAGAGGGUGACCGGCCACACUGGGACUGAGACACGGCCCAGACUCCUACGGGAGGCAGCAGUGGGGAAUAUUGCACAAUGGGCGGAAGCCUGAUGCAGCAACGCCGCGUGAGGGAUGACGGCCUUCGGGUUGUAAACCUCUUUUAGCAGGGAAGAAGCGAAAGUGACGGUACCUGCAGAAAAGCGCCGGCUAACUACGUG